GUUUUUCAGUGCAGACUUUGAAGAUUCCAGAUUGCUGCAAAUUCCAUGAAAACUGAGUAGAGAGAAAAACCUAUUCCUGUCCCUGUGGAGGAAAUGCUGCCCUGCGUUCCGUCCCUGUUUGAGUGUUGGAGGAUCCACGUCUUAAACCAAAGCCAAGAAGCAUUAACGCUGAAUUGGGGUUAUUUUGAGAUCAUCUGAUUUCAUCAUAGAAGGUGCUGUAGGAGAUCAUCACUCUGAAAAACUUCAAACAAAAUGGUCUGAAAGUUUUUUAUGGGUGGUGAGAUGUUCCAGUACUUGGAUCAAUGUGUUUUAUUUAAUGUUGGGAGAAUUUUUUUUUUUAAGUUAAUGUAAUUACAGGUCUAAAUCAGUCUAGGUGAGCUGUGCUUACAUGUAUGAACGUACUCAACACUAUAUCCAUACACAGUAAGCGAAACCAUCCCAGGGCAGAGAAGGCCCCAAGGAGCUGGCAUGAUGGACAAUAAGGGGAAAAGGGAAGCUUUACCGGAAGCUUUUUGUUGUUCAAACUCAAUUUGUAUUGAAAGCACAAUGAAAACUGUGAUACCAACGUACCAAAUGCAACUUCUUUUAGCAAAGCGAUCUUCCAGCUUCCACGGAAUAAACUCUGUGAUAUAUACGGAGUUUUUUUCAUAACCAGAGCUGAGUCAGCUUGAACUCACCUUAGCGUGAGAUUUAGCAAGACUUCUGCUAUGCUGAACAAAAUGAGAGAGAGAAGUCUCUCUCCUGUGCUUGGCACACAAGGCUGAAGCAGCAUCUGCUGGAACGACACAAUCUCAAGGCAAUAAAAGCAGCUGUUGGAAGCCCCAGAUCAAAGACAAAGUCACACCUCCCAGAACAAAGCGUGGGAGCCGGAUGUGCUGCAGCGGGGAAGCAGCGUGGGGCAGCCAGGGCUACUGAGGGCGCAGGUCCCAGCACAGGAUAUAGGGCACGAUACGAUCUCCGCAGCUGGCAUAGCUGCAGUCCUGCUGGAGAGACUCUGUCCAGACCCGCCGUCUGCAGCACAGGAGGGAAAUCGGAGAAAGACAAGAGAGUAAUGGAAAGGGCUGAAAGAAGGGCCAGAUAAUGAACAAAGUUCAGCUCAUGUAGCGUGUGAGAGAAGAGCGUGGGGAUGGGGGAAGGACAGCGUGAGCUUGGCCACAAUCUGUGGACAGCUUUUGUCCUUAUGUUUAACAGUGACAAAAUGUACCAGGCUCUACCUGCUCCAUUGGAUCGCCAGCAGGAACCCUUUCCUUUACCAAAGACGAUGAUUCAAGCUAUAUUGUGACAGCUGCCCUUAUUCUAUUUUAUUUUUAAGUACCUUUUGCCAUGAAGUUAUGUCAUGCUGUAAUGGGUCAUCUCACCCAGCCUACUGAUGGCACAUACUGAACAUGAAAUUUAAAAAGUGAAAUGCAACCAGGAAGAACAAUUUUGCCAGGAAAUGACAUUUCAGAGGUUUCUGAAAAGAAUUGUUUGCAAAUCAUUUUGAAAGUCUUUUACAGGAAAUUUUCAAAAUAUUCCUUUUUUAUCCCAGCUUGUCUAGAAAGCUGAUUUCCAAUAUUUACUCCAAACAGUUUGACCAGUCAUCCUAAUCUGACCUGUUCCAC
ensembl:lncRNA